GAUCAUGGCUCAGAUUGAACGCUGGCGGCAUGCCUUACACAUGCAAGUCGAACGGUAACAGGUCUUCGGACGCUGACGAGUGGCGAACGGGUGAGUAAUACAUCGGAACGUGCCCAGUCGUGGGGGAUAACUACUCGAAAGAGUAGCUAAUACCGCAUACGAUCUGAGGAUGAAAGCGGUCGGGUACCGUUCGGGCCUCGCGCGUAGUUGGGAGGCCGGGCCGAGUGGCAGUAGUUAGGUAGUUGGGUGG
rnacentral:rRNA from 1 species